CCGGUAUCCAGGUAACAAAUUAACCAAUCAAAAUAAAGAAUACUCGGAACAAUUUCUUCCGAGUAAAUGUAAACAGUGAUUCACGUGGUAAUUAUCCAUUUUUAUAAAAUCAAAAAUUACACAAUUACCAGGCUUCUCACAAAAGAAAUCAAAGUUACUCAAUUUUAUUACGGCACAAUAUAUACACAAGACAAACAAAUAUAUUUCACAGCACAGGACAAACACUCGACUAUACCACUGACAGUCACAUAUAACAUGUAAAGUUAAUGUUAAAGAGCAAAUAUAGCGUCUAGCCAUUAGAAAUGAUAAAUAUAUUCAUCCAAAC
rnacentral:lncRNA from 1 species